UAGGCUUGAAUCCUUGUUUCAGGGGCAGCUUCCAGGGGAACCCAAAUUUAGUACCUUGCCUAGGGGCGCUUACCUAGUAAGUGGAGAACCAGAAUUCAGACCCAGAGCACAUGGAGUGACCGCCCAGGGGUCCUGCACUGUAGAUGUGUCGGCCACUCCUGGCUUCUGCUGCUAGUGCCUUGGCGAUAGGGACUAGCUCUGGAGGGUCCUCAGCUCAAUGCCUUCCAUGUGCUAGGUGCUCAGUAUGUGAUGCUUCCCUUCUACUUCCUGCCCUCUCUUAUGGAGGCUUGGCUUUGUCAAGCUUAACUCUCCUGUAUUAGACUGAGACUUAAGAGCAUGAUCUCUGGAUUUAGGCUUCCUGCAUUCAAAUCCUGGCUCUGGGACUCACUAUCAGGUUGAUGUUGAAUAAGUUAUUUAACCAUUUUUCUGCCUCUGUUUCUUCCUCUAUAAAAUGGGGAUAAUUUUAGCCACCUAACAGUCUCAUGAGGAGAACUAAACAAAUGUCUGUAUAGUUGUGGUAAACUCCCAGCACACAGUGAGUCUAGAGAAGGGUUGCUUUACUCUGAUUAGUUCAUGCCUCUCCCCAGUCUCUCUGAACACACCCACCAGAAGGGUACAAAUAUUAGGCAGUCAGUGCCUGCCAUGAUUUGAGAGAUGACUUUGAGAGAUUGUUUUUCAAUUCCCAGGGCACCCUAGGUAUCCUUACCAGUCAUGUAUGGCUUCAGAUGAGCUCUCGUCUUACCUUGACAACCCAGAGAACAGACCCUUUUCGGGGUGGGAAGGUGGAUAAGCAGCUUAGAAGAUGGGAGUAUGCUUCGUGAACUUCACUUUUUUUUUUUUUUGCCAAGAACAAAUCCUGGCUGCCUUCCCAGCAGGUGCUCAGUCACGGUCACAAAGAUCCAACCUACUCAUGGGACCAACAAAAGAACCAAGACCCAAAGGAUGGCGUUGGCCUGUGCAGGGCCACACUGUGUGUACAUGGCAGAGCCAGUGCUAGGACCCAGGCUCCUACACAAGACACCGGUUCCCCUGACAUCAGAAUCUCAGGCAAGGACUGGCUUGAGGUAGUUCGUGUGAGAGGUGACACCCGAGAAUAGGAGACAGGGAGCCGGAAGAGUGAGGCAGGGAGAGAGAAGCCAAUACAAGGCCGUGCAGUCCAGGCUGCCAUGGUGGCAACAGGGAUGUGAAUCUGCCGAGAUGUUUGAGGAGCAUAGGGAAAGCCUCCCACAAUUGCCCAUCAGCUCCUAUUCUCCAUUUGUCAAGGGGUGCAAGAACUGGGUGCUAACUUCUCUGGACUUCUGAGCUGCACGUGCAUGGGGGCCCAGUGAGCUCUGUGGGUGCCCCCCACCCCCCCACCCCCGCCAACCGCAUAUAGGCAAAGACUCUGGCAUGUCCUUGAGCAUAACCUGUGAGUGCAAAGGAAGAGCCUGCACAGAUAGCUGUGGUGAGGUCAGAAGGGUCAGGAGCAGAGGUGUCAAGUGCAUUCCAGCAGCAAAACACACCUGCAUUUCCAUCUGCUUUCAUUAGGUAACUGCUUGAUAAUUCAGCUCACCUGAGCUCCCUGCCCCUGGCAGGAUUGUUCACUUUGAAUAGUAACACAGCAGUCUCCCUUUAUUUGUGGGGGAUACUUUCCAAGAUCCCCCGUGGAUGCCUGAAGCCAAGGAUAGUACCAAACUCUAUACAUGUUAUGAUUUUUCCUAUCCAUACAGAC
ensembl:lncRNA